rnacentral:lncRNA from 1 species
AUAAAUAGGAAAUGGCUGUUACCGCGAGAAGCUCGCUCCCAAGAGCAGCCCACUCCGACAUUAAACUAGGAAGAGUGAUUGGCCCCCUCCCCUUCCUGUUACAAACAGAGAAGAGAAGGACUGCGACACUCCCAGUCAUUAGUUUUCUUCAGUGGCACUUUGUUUCUUUCGGACAGUGAAAAGAGGCCCUCGGAGAUGCGACAGUCCCCUUGCAGUUUAUCAAUGAAAAUCUAAUAUCGUCCAUAAGGAGAGAAGUGGAAAUCAAUACUUCAUUACCAAAUUGUUCCCAUAACAACUGCUUUCAAGCUCAUCCGUACUUUCGUCAUGCUUACACAUGUGCACAUUUUACUGUUCCUGGCUUCCGUAGGAUCUGCACCUGGGAGACCAGAGCUGCGCGGUGAAGGGCGUUUUUAGCCCACCCUGGAGGAGGAACACAACCUACUGUGACUUAUCAGGAUAGUCUUUUCCUUGGAACAUAGGAAUAUGAGUGACAUGCUAGCUAUAAUCACACUACUGGAAAGAAAUCUCAACUUUUGAACUUCUUUGAAAGCUUGGCUUAUAAUCAAUCUCCCAGGUGUGUCACAUGUGUGACAGACACAUCAGGACAUGAGCCAGGCAGGCAGCUGCCCAAGGCUUGAGGCUGGAGACCUUUCUAAUCAGCACCAGAGCAAACAGGUUCCAUGGGGCCUCUGCUGUCACCGGUCUCAACUGGCUGUGCAGUGGGUGAGUAGGAAGUACCGCUUAGUAUGAUCCCUUUAUGGGUCUUUGUUAGCUUUCUCUAGCUGUGACCACACUUUCAACCAAAACAGCUUAACAGAGGAAAGACUGCUGCUCAGUGUCCUGAAGAUUUCAAUCCAUCGUGGCAGAGAAGAUGCUGAGGAAAAGGGGGAGGGGGACAAGCUAUGGCCCUCCCCCACUUCACCACCACCAAAUAAUGUGCCAGUUAUGAACUUGUCUUUGUUAGGGUUUUAUUGCUCUGAACAGACACCAUGACCAAGGCAUCUCUUAUAAAGAACAGCAUUUAAUUGGGGCUGGCUUACAGGUUCAGAGGUUCAGUCCAUUAUCAUCAAGGUAGGAGCAGGGGAACUUCCAGGCAGGCAUGGUGCAGGAGGAGCUGAGAGUUCUACAUCUUCAUCUGCAGGCCUCUAAGAGAAGACUGACUUCCAGGCAGCUAGGACCAGGGUAUUAAAUCCCAUGCUCACAGUGACACACCUACUCCAGCAAGGCCACACCUCCUAAUAGUGCCACUUCCUGGCCCAAGCAGAUACAAACCAUCACAGAACUCAUUAAGGGAUUCAUCCUUUGAUUUGGCCCCAGGGUUGCGCGUGUUCCAGACACACCUAGAGGUAGGCAUCAGUAAUUUCCUAAGUGCUCUUUAUUCCAGACCAAUUAGCAUUAAUGUUUCCCUGAACUACAUCCCCACCCCCACCCCCAAAAUGGGUUAAGGCCUUCUGUAUCUCUUUGUGCAAAAUGGCUGUUGAAUGGAGCCAUCAGAGACAAGGUACUACUCCUGGGACACCAAGAGAGGCAGGCAAGAAGACACGAGGCCUCCUGAGAGUGGGGCCAACGCUGUCACCGAGUGUCACCUGCGUCCUCACUCGUGUGUCAGCUCAGAUGAUCUCAGUGGCAGAUCUUUCCUUGGCUCACACUCUCCAUCCCCAGGCUGCCCACGUGGUUAAGAAGCGGGAAAGAAAGCUGGCCUGACGCUUUGCCCAAGAACCCUCCUGAUGGCUAGUGAUGGGGUUAUGGACUCUUAACUGCUGAAUGGUUAUCCUUAAUUAUAAUCAAAGGUCUGUCAAUCUAAAUAAAAAUGAUAAGGCGGGGAGCCAGCCCCUGCUAUCCACUCCUCUCCACUUCCCAUGAGCUUUUAAACACCAAUCUGUUCUCAGGGUGAUGCUUCGACGGGGCUUGGAUUGAAUAAUUAUCGAAACGGAACUCAGUGUUAAGUAAAACUUAACUUUUUUUUGCAAUAAAGAAUGGUUAAAAUUAUUAUUAUUAUUAAAGACAGAAAGGAAUACCU